AACCUGAACCCUUAACACCACCAAUCUCCAAGUUAUAGUUCCCAAAACCAUCGAUUAUGUGUGCAUCCGAAGGAUUGACUUGAGACAAAGUGUUCUUCAGCGUCACAAUAUGUUUCAUCACUCCUUCCCUUGACAAAGUGGAUUCUUGGUCGUGGUUACCCAAAACAGCUACCCAUGGGAUGUUUGAUGCAAUUGCAGGGGCAAACGCAGCAUUCAAAGACUUUGCUGCGUCUGUGGCAUCAAAUCCAAAGAUAUUAUCACCUGUUGUAUGAGAAAAAAAAAACUUCAAAAAGUGAUAUUGGGUACAGAAACAACCAAUAUUAGGCAACCGACGUCACUAUUAAGUAUUGUGACAGUAUCAUUGGUGGAUUUUGCUUCAUUAAAUCCCAAUCUUCAAAGUUAACCUUGUGGAUUUACAUUAGCAGCUGGAUAGAAUGACUGACAAAAUAGCGAGAGUUACUCUUUAACCACUUCUUCUUCUUGUUUGGGAAACUUCGGCAUAAUUUUUAUUGAGUAAUAAGUAUCAAUAAGUUCAUGCAACAGUUUAAGUUAAUUAUAAUUUAGCUAGAAUUGUAAUAAAAAAAUAAUGAGAAAUACCGGGGUUUUCAAUUGGCCAAAAAUCCUAAUUAACGGUAACCAGUACAAAAAUUAUAGAAAUCGAAUCAAACAAUUUUUUUUUUUUUUUGGGUUUAAAUUUUAAUCAAAGGAAACGGGAAAAAGAGGGAGAAAAGGAAAAAAGGGUACCAGUGAAAACGAUGAGGUCGGGCUUCUCAGCUGAAAUCAUGCGAUUGAUAAAGGCAGUGGUGUUGAGAUCAGAGCAACCAGCGACCUGACUCGGGAGUACAUCCAAACAAGGCGUCGUCUUGCCGUUCGCAAAAUGCAUGUCCGCCACUUGUAGAAUCUUAAAC
rnacentral:lncRNA from 1 species